rnacentral:lncRNA from 1 species
GAGGGGACUGCUGUGGAAGGAAGGAGAGGCCUGCGGCCCCUCCCUGUGGCUGAGAGGGCAUCAGGCCCAGGUCUGGUGGUACAGCCGGGUCCCUGCACCAGGAGGAGUUAGUGAGAGCAGCGCUCAGGAGAUAUCUGGCCCUAGACCAAGAUGAGGAAGGGGGCCGGCUCGGGAAGUCAGAGGCCAACAGGCUCAGAGAGGGGGCUACAUGGGGCCUCGCAAUGAGCAGGCAGAGAGGUCUGAGGCCAGUGCCAGGGUCUGAGGUGAUUGGACUUGUUCUGCUUUGAGAAAUGAACAGAACAAGUCCUGGCCCAGCCGGGUGAGGGGACUCUGGCACUUCCUGGUGGCUGGAUGGAGCAGAAGGUGCUCCCAGGAAGGGGCGCCUUGAGCUUCACAGAUGCAUCUUGGGUGGGGCCCCGGAGGCUGUCCCUGUCUCACCCCCACCUCCCUCCACACACACCUGCCUCCCUGCCAAGCACCAAUGGGUGGGUUCUGUCUUCUGUGCCACUGCAGAUGGCCAGGCGCCUCCGUCCCCUCGGGGCCUCGUUUGGGUCUCAUUCACCCAGGCUUCACUUGCCCUUAGGCAGCAGAAACAUGGCAUCAGGUGGGUGGUGAUCGGAGACGAGAACUACGGCGAGGGCUCGAGCCGGGAGCAUGCAGCUCUGGAGCCUCGCCACCUUGGGGCCCGGGCCAUCAUCACCAAGAGCUUUGCCAGGAUCCACGGUGAGCUGGAGUCUGCACCUGGGCCAUCUUCAUCCCAUCCCUAGUGACCAAGAGACCAACCUGAAGAAACAGGGCCUGCUGCCCCUGACCUUCGCUGACCCAGCCGACUACAACAAGAUUCACCCUGUGGACAAGCUGACCAUUCAAGGCCUAAAGGACUUCACCCCUGGCAAGGUUAGGAGGCCGGAUCCCCCUGAGGGGGUAGGGUGAGGGGCAGCCACCUUGUUUCCCCUCCUGCACUGGCCCCAGGGUGGCUUCUCCCAGGAGGCUCCAUUCCAGCUGGAAAGACCCCCAGUUCUCCAGGUGGCCCCACAGAGAAAGGGAAGCACCUUUCCAGAGUUGGGGGUUGGGGUCAGCCCAGGGCCCUCCUACCUCCUCAACCUCCCUUUACUCACCAGGACUUGACACUCAGGGGACAGCCCACCCACUGCAGGACCCUCUGGGCCCCAGGAAUCCCCUUUAGGUGCCAUCUGGGUCUAACCUGGGCCAUGAGGCACACAGACUGGCCUAGGAUUUGGUUUGCCUGCUGACCUCCUAGGUCCCCAGGCAGUGCCCGACCCCCCUGCAGGACCAAAGGCACGCAGUACCCACCACUUCCACC